rnacentral:rRNA from 1 species
GGAUUCCCCUAGUAACUGCGAGUGAAGCGGGAAAAGCUCAAAUUUGAAAUCUGGCGGUCCUUUGCGGCCGUCCGAGUUGUAAUCUAGAGAAGUGCUACCCGCGCUGGACCGUGUACAAGUCUCCUGGAAUGGAGCGUCACAGAGGGUGAGAAUCCCGUCUUUGACACGGACUGCCAGGGCUUAUGUGGUGCGCUCUCGAAGAGUCGAGUUGUUUGGGAAUGCAGCUCUAAAUGGGUGGUAAAUUCCAUCUAAAGCUAAAUACAGGCGAGAGACCGAUAGCGAACAAGUACCGUGAGGGAAAGAUGAAAAGAACUUUGGAAAGAGAGUUAAACAGUACGUGAAAUUGCUGAAAGGGAAACGUUUGAAGUCAGUCGCGUUGGCUGGGGAUCAACCUUGCUCUUGCAGGGCGCACUCUCUGGCUCGACGGGUCAGCAUCAGUUUCGGCCGCUGGAGAAAGGCUAGGGGAAUGUGGCAUCGCUUCGGUGAUGUGUUAUAGCCCUUGGUCGUAUGCAGCGGCUGGGACUGAGGAACUCAGCCUGCCCUUAACUGGGCCGGGUCUUUUUGACCACGCUUAACGGGCUUAGGAUGCUGGCAUAAUGGCUUUAAGCGACCCGUCUUGAAACACGGACCAAGGAGUCUAACAUGUUUGCGAGUGUUUGGGUGGAAAACCCGAGCGCGUAAUGAAAGUGAAAGUUGGGAACCCUGUCGUGGGGUGCACCGACGCCCGGACCAGACCUUCUUGCGACGGCUCCGCGGUAGAGCAGGCAUGUUGGGACCCGAAAGAUGGUGAACUAUGCCUGAAUAGGGUGAAGCCAGAGGAAACUCUGGUGGAGGCUCGUAG